GGGUUGUGAGGUUAAGCGACUAAGCGUACACGGUGGAUGCCCUGGCAGUCAGAGGCGAUGAAGGACGUGCUAAUCUGCGAUAAGCGUCGGUAAGGUGAUAUGAACCGUUAUAACCGGCGAUUUCCGAAUGGGGAAACCCAGUGUGUUUCGACACACUAUCAUUAACUGAAUCCAUAGGUUAAUGAGGCGAACCGGGGGAACUGAAACAUCUAAGUACCCCGAGGAAAAGAAAUCAACCGAGAUUCCCCCAGUAGCGGCGAGCGAACGGGGAGCAGCCCAGAGCCUGAAUCAGUGUGUGUGUUAGUGGAAGCGUCUGGAAAGGCGCGCGAUACAGGGUGACAGCCCCGUACACAAAAAUGCACAUGCUGUGAGCUCGAUGAGUAGGGCGGGACACGUGGUAUCCUGUCUGAAUAUGGGGGGACCAUCCUCCAAGGCUAAAUACUCCUGACUGACCGAUAGUGAACCAGUACCGUGAGGGAAAGGCGAAAAGAACCCCGGCGAGGGGAGUGAAAAAGAACCUGAAACCGUGUACGUACAAGCAGUGGGAGCCUCUUUUAUGGGGUGACUGCGUACCUUUUGUAUAAUGGGUCAGCGACUUAUAUUCUGUAGCAAGGUUAACCGAAUAGGGGAGCCGAAGGGAAACCGAGUCUUAACUGGGCGUUAAGUUGCAGGGUAUAGACCCGAAACCCGGUGAUCUAGCCAUGGGCAGGUUGAAGGUUGGGUAACACUAACUGGAGGACCGAACCGACUAAUGUUGAAAAAUUAGCGGAUGACUUGUGGCUGGGGGUGAAAGGCCAAUCAAACCGGGAGAUAGCUGGUUCUCCCCGAAAGCUAUUUAGGUAGCGCCUCGUGAAUUCAUCUCCGGGGGUAGAGCACUGUUUCGGCAAGGGGGUCAUCCCGACUUACCAACCCGAUGCAAACUGCGAAUACCGGAGAAUGUUAUCACGGGAGACACACGGCGGGUGCUAACGUCCGUCGUGAAGAGGGAAACAACCCAGACCGCCAGCUAAGGUCCCAAAGUCAUGGUUAAGUGGGAAACGAUGUGGGAAGGCCCAGACAGCCAGGAUGUUGGCUUAGAAGCAGCCAUCAUUUAAAGAAAGCGUAAUAGCUCACUGGUCGAGUCGGCCUGCGCGGAAGAUGUAACGGGGCUAAACCAUGCACCGAAGCUGCGGCAGCGACGCUGAUGCGUUGUUGGGUAGGGGAGCGUUCUGUAAGCCUGUGAAGGUGUGCUGUGAGGCAUGCUGGAGGUAUCAGAAGUGCGAAUGCUGACAUAAGUAACGAUAAAGCGGGUGAAAAGCCCGCUCGCCGGAAGACCAAGGGUUCCUGUCCAACGUUAAUCGGGGCAGGGUGAGUCGACCCCUAAGGCGAGGCCGAAAGGCGUAGUCGAUGGGAAACAGGUUAAUAUUCCUGUACUUGGUGUUACUGCGAAGGGGGGACGGAGAAGGCUAUGUUGGCCGGGCGACGGUUGUCCCGGUUUAAGCGUGUAGGCUGGUUUUCCAGGCAAAUCCGGAAAAUCAAGGCUGAGGCGUGAUGACGAGGCACUACGGUGCUGAAGCAACAAAUGCCCUGCUUCCAGGAAAAGCCUCUAAGCAUCAGGUAACAUCAAAUCGUACCCCAAACCGACACAGGUGGUCAGGUAGAGAAUACCAAGGCGCUUGAGAGAACUCGGGUGAAGGAACUAGGCAAAAUGGUGCCGUAACUUCGGGAGAAGGCACGCUGAUAUGUAGGUGAAGUCCCUCGCGGAUGGAGCUGAAAUCAGUCGAAGAUACCAGCUGGCUGCAACUGUUUAUUAAAAACACAGCACUGUGCAAACACGAAAGUGGACGUAUACGGUGUGACGCCUGCCCGGUGCCGGAAGGUUAAUUGAUGGGGUCAGCGCAAGCGAAGCUCUUGAUCGAAGCCCCGGUAAACGGCGGCCGUAACUAUAACGGUCCUAAGGUAGCGAAAUUCCUUGUCGGGUAAGUUCCGACCUGCACGAAUGGCGUAAUGAUGGCCAGGCUGUCUCCACCCGAGACUCAGUGAAAUUGAACUCGCUGUGAAGAUGCAGUGUACCCGCGGCAAGACGGAAAGACCCCGUGAACCUUUACUAUAGCUUGACACUGAACAUUGAGCCUUGAUGUGUAGGAUAGGUGGGAGGCUUUGAAGUGUGGACGCCAGUCUGCAUGGAGCCGACCUUGAAAUACCACCCUUUAAUGUUUGAUGUUCUAACGUUGACCCGUAAUCCGGGUUGCGGACAGUGUCUGGUGGGUAGUUUGACUGGGGCGGUCUCCUCCUAAAGAGUAACGGAGGAGCACGAAGGUUGGCUAAUCCUGGUCGGACAUCAGGAGGUUAGUGCAAUGGCAUAAGCCAGCUUGACUGCGAGCGUGACGGCGCGAGCAGGUGCGAAAGCAGGUCAUAGUGAUCCGGUGGUUCUGAAUGGAAGGGCCAUCGCUCAACGGAUAAAAGGUACUCCGGGGAUAACAGGCUGAUACCGCCCAAGAGUUCAUAUCGACGGCGGUGUUUGGCACCUCGAUGUCGGCUCAUCACAUCCUGGGGCUGAAGUAGGUCCCAAGGGUAUGGCUGUUCGCCAUUUAAAGUGGUACGCGAGCUGGGUUUAGAACGUCGUGAGACAGUUCGGUCCCUAUCUGCCGUGGGCGCUGGAGAACUGAGGGGGGCUGCUCCUAGUACGAGAGGACCGGAGUGGACGCAUCACUGGUGUUCGGGUUGUCAUGCCAAUGGCACUGCCCGGUAGCUAAAUGCGGAAGAGAUAAGUGCUGAAAGCAUCUAAGCACGAAACUUGCCCCGAGAUGAGUUCUCCCUGACUCCUUGAGAGUCCUGAAGGAACGUUGAAGACGACGACGUUGAUAGGCCGGGUGUGUAAGCGCAGCGAUGCGUUGAGCUAACCGGUACUAAUGAACCGUGAGGCUUAACCUUACAACGCCGAAGCUGUU
rnacentral:rRNA from 1 species